CACGUAGGGUGCGAGCGUUGUCCGGAAUUAUUGGGCGUAAAGAGCUCGUAGGCGGUGUGUCGCGUCGGCCGUGAAAACCUGCAGCUUAACUGUGGGCUUGCGGUCGAUACGGGCAUCACUGGAGUUCGGCAGGGGAGACUGGAAUUCCUGGUGUAGCGGUGAAAUGCGCAGAUAUCAGGAGGAACACCGGUGGCGAAGGCGGCUCUCUGGGCCUUACCUGACGCUGAGGAGCGAAAGCGUGGGUAGCGAA
rnacentral:rRNA from 1 species